UGGAAAUGCUAAGUCACGGCCAGAAGCAGUAAUUGAGCACCUGGUGGGAAGGCAGGGCCAACCCAGGGAAGCUCAGGUGCAUGCAAUGCACCUGAGUGGCUGGAAGAGGUGGAAUCAGGAUCCACCCCUUCCCAGACCUCAUUUAAGGGCUGGCAGUGGAGGUGAGGAUAUCUCUUGUUGGAGAUUUCUACCUACCAGAGGCCUUCUAAAGGAAGACAAAAAGCAGAAAAAAUUGCACUUAAAUCUCUGGAUCUAUGAAGAAAGGAGGAAUACAUCAGGAAAAAAGGACUCUAGCCAGCAAUAGCAUCAUUAAAUUAUUCUAAUCAAGAGAGCUUCAGGGUCACCAAGAAUCAACUGCAAGUCCAUAUUUAUGAAGUUAUGGGUGUAAUCUCACACUAACAUAUUUGAUUGGCCUCUGGAACUCGCAGACCACAAAUAUUUAGGCAAAUCUUGGGCUUCUGGGGCAGAGUGAAAGCAAUCUGAAUGCAAUAUUAGCCAUUGCGCUAUAACCAAAAGUUCUAUUCAUUCAUAAUUGAAAUGGAGCUUGAGGAUACACCAGUUCUAUUGGGAGUCUGGGAAAGACAAAUGCACUUCAACAGUGGAAACAGGUCAUUAGG
ensembl:lncRNA